rnacentral:lncRNA from 1 species
GGCACUUGAAAUGAUUACUGCAUCAAAUUAUUAGUCUUUAUAGUAAAAGAUAGGCAAAAUGAAAACAACAACAUACAUAACUAAGUGAAAACAACAAUGUUACUUAACAAAUUUAAAAGAUUGUCAUUUGCAACUAGUACAAAUUGAACAACAAUGUACGUAACAAAUUUGAAAACAACAACGUAGGUGACAAAUUGAAAAAAUAGCCAUUAGCAGCCAGUGUCUACACAUCAUAAGCAAAUCGAAAAACAUAAAAGAGAAAUUCAACAAAAUAAAAAGGGAAAAACAUACCUAAAAAC